CACCCUUCUCCACAACUCUCUGCUGUCCUGCCUCCAUCCAGGACACCCCAGGGAAAAGAAAGACCUGCCUAUUCCUGUUAAGGUCUAAAUGACAAGCGAGACCGAGGGUCUGGACUUUAACAGGACUAUGAGGAGUGGGGUGAAGGAGCAUGAAAGGAGCUGAGCAAGACUGGCCUCCUUAAGACAGUGGUCCAGCAGCGUGGACUCCAGACUGGGCUUUGGCGUCAGAGAGACAGGCUUCUGCCACGUAUCAGAAGCGCAAACUUAGGCGGGGCCUGAGCAUCUUCAUCUGUGAAAUGGAGACACUAAACGGAACCGAUCUGACAGGGUUUGUGGGAGCAUUAAAUGGGAUAAUGAUGUAAAUAAAGCACGAUGCACAGUUCCUGGCUCCUAAUACGGCCACAACAAUGUCGGUAUUUGAUAUAAUGUUAUUAAUAAUAAAUUGCUUAUCACCAGA